rnacentral:rRNA from 1 species
UACGGGGGGGGCAAGCGUUGUUCGGAAUUACUGGGCGUAAAGGGCUCGUAGGCGGCCAACUAAGUCAGACGUGAAAUCCCUCGGCUUAACCGAGGAACUGCCUGUCAGACUGGAUUGCUUGAGUCCGGGAGAGGCGAGUGGAAUUCCCAGUGUAGCGGUGAAAUGCGUAGAUAUUCGCAGGAACACCAGUGGCGAAAGCGGCUUACUGGUCCAUAACUGACGCUGAGGUGGCGAAA